CCUACGGGUGGCAGCAGUGAGGAAUAUUGGUCAAUGGACGGGAGCCUGAACCAGCCAAGUCGCGUGAGGGAAGACGGUCCUAUGGAUUGUAAACCUCUUUAGGAGGGGAGCAAUGCCGGGCACGUGUGCCCGGAGGGAGAUUCCCCGCAGAAUAAGCAUCGGCUAACUCCGGUCCAGCAGCCGCGGUAAUACGGAGGAUGCGAGCGUUAUCAGUAUGUAUUGGGUUUAAAGGGUGCGUAGGCGGAUUUUUCAGUCAGCGGUAAAAUGUCCGGGCUAGAGCCGGGCCGGCCGUUGAAAGUGGGGAUCUUGAGUGGGCGAGAAGUAUGCGGAAUGCGUGGUGUAGCGGUGAAAUGCAUAGAUAUCACGCAGAACUCCGAUUGCGAAGGCAGCAUACCGGCGCCCGACUGACGCUGAGGCACGAAAGCGUGGGGAUCGAACAGGAGUAGAUACCCCGGUAGUC
rnacentral:rRNA from 1 species